rnacentral:lncRNA from 1 species
UACUUAUUUGAUUUUGCUAUUGGAUGUUAAUUUUUUUAUUACAACUAUUUUUUGAGAUGCCCCUGAACUUUGGUUGGAUCUUUUUGUUUGCAAUUCUUGUAAGUUUUGUAAAUAAUUUCUUAUAUUAUUAUAAACUAAGGAUAUUAUUUUGUGAAAAACCUGCUCCAAUGUCUUAUAAAUAUUUAGAUUAGAUAUCUUCUGGAUACUUGGUUCAUAUACCUUGUGAAUAACCUGAUUUAAUACCAUAUUGAUAUAUUAUUUAGGUACCUCAUAGAUACUCUAGUCGAUAAUAUAUAGGUAUUCAGUUCAUAUAUCUUGUAGGUACUUUGAUUUGGAAUUGUAUAGAUACUUGGUUCAGGUAUCUCAUCAUUAUAUUGGUCCAAUAUUAUAUAUAUACUCAAUUGAGAUACUUUGUGGAAAUCCUGAUUUGGUCUUGUAUACAUAGCCAUCAUUUUAUUUUCUUCAAAAUGAAUGUCUUGUAGAGAAAUAGAUCUUAAAUCUUUGAAAUUAGACUAUAAUUGUUCUUCUAUUUUUGAUAGAAGUUGUGUUGUUACUUUAUGAUUUUUUUUUUAAUCAUUUUCUAAUAUAAUAAUAUUUUUUUAAACUAUCAAUUUGGUCAAAUAACUAUUGAAUAUUUGUAGAUGUAAAUCCAUCAUUUGUAUUAUAAUUUCUUAAAUACUUUAAAAAACUAUUU